GGGAGCGCAUUGAUUCGACGGAUCAUUCAUAAAAAGCAUUGCAGAUCGAGAUGCCGAGCAACUCUCGUAAAAAUCACUCGGCACCAUAUACGUGCAAACGUAUUCAACUUCGAUGGCGCGUAUGCGCCCGCUAUGGCCUAACCGGUUAUAGUUGCUUCUCUCGAGAAGUAUCUCGGGACAUCAGUCCUGUCAGCCGCAGGGCAGAAUCGACUGGUGUUAUUCAUGCGGCUUGGGUUUUGCGAUACCGGUAGCAAGACCAACAAUUACCGGAAACGAUCCUGCGGGUCUUGCAGAAUUCCUCACCACAGCGACCGUAUUUGAACUCUGCUAUAUCUGUAAGUACAAUGCUUUUUGCGGUAAUCCGGACGAGGGUUCACUACCCUCCGCUUCCACAA
rfam:Candidatus Sungbacteria bacterium RIFCSPHIGHO2_02_FTLL_49_20 rifcsphigho2_02_scaffold_8579, whole genome shotgun sequence.